CCCGCUGAACUUAAGCAUAUCAAUAAGCGGAGGAAAAGAAACUAACAAGGAUUCCCCUAGUAACUGCGAGUGAAGCGGGAAAAGCUCAAAUUUAAAAUCUGGCGGUCUUGCGGCCGUCCACAGUUGUAAUCUGGAGAAGCGUUUAUCCGCGUCGGACCGUGUACAAGUCUUCUGGAAGGGAGCGUCGUAGAGGGUGAGAAUCCCGUCUUUGACACGUACAACCGGUGCUUUUGUGAUGCGCUCUCGAAGAGUCGAGUUGUUUGGGAAUGCAGCUCAAAAUGGGUGGUAAAUUCCAUCUAAAGCUAAAUAUUGGCGAGAGACCGAUAGCGAACAAGUACCGUGAGGGAAAGAUGAAAAGCACUUUGGAAAGAGAGUUAAACAGUACGUGAAAUUGUUGAAAGGGAAACGUUUGAAGUCAGUCGCGUCGGCCGAGACUCAAGCUUGCUUCUGCUCGGUGCACUUCUCGGUUGACGGGUCAGCAUCAAUUUUGACCGCCGGAUAAAGGUCGGGGGAAUGUGGCAUCCUUCGGGAUGUGUUAUAGACCUCGAUUCGGACACGGCGAUUGGGAUUGAGGAACUCGGCGCUUUGCGUCCAGGAUGCUGGCAUAAUGGCUUUAAGCGACCCGUCUUGAAACACGG
rnacentral:rRNA from 1 species